rnacentral:lncRNA from 1 species
CGGGUUGAGAAACAUUUAGGAGGUCAAGUUGUUGGGACCCAGAGACUGAUGGGAUGUGUGUGGGAUGAGAGGGAGGAGUCAAGGUGGCCUUGUCCUGGGGCUGAGCAGUGGUGCAACCCAGCCCUGAGGAAUUCCGGGAGUGGAGCCGACUUGGAAACUCAAGGCCAAUCUCAGGUUGAGACAUGUAGGUAGCAGAGCUGGGAUCUGAACCCUUCCUUGUCUGACUUCAAAUUCCAUCAGGCCCUGACAUUCUCCAGCUUUCAUGGUGUUCCUGCAAUCCAAGUGCCGCUUAUCUCUCUACAGGUCCACCAGAUGACCGGCUGGCCUCCUAAUUGGGCUUCCUGCAUUCCUGCCUGUGCUCGGAGCUCCCUUCUCCACUUGCCUGCUGGAGGAGGUUUACAAACAAAAUCAGAUCAUGGCACUCCCCUGGGGCCCUGCAUCCUGUGGCCAGCAGGUCUUGGAAACGCCCCUGUACCCCAGAAACUUCCUGAUCAGUCCCUGGUCAGUGUAUAUCAUGCUUCCUGUGACAUGACAUCAACUUUUCAGUGACUUCCACUGGUUUUGGCCCAGCUCGAAGAGCCUGACACCUCUGCAGGGAAUUCUACCAGGGAGCUCAGGAGGGGGAAUUGCACUGAAGAUUUGUCCCAUCGUGAAGCAAGAGCACUGGAACUUACACUCCACCAUCAGGCCCUGUCACAGGAGAACAAAGAAGGAAGGCAGAGGAGAUCAUGCUCCGGCCAGCAGGGAAUCUCCAUUUUUUUCAGCCUCAUACCUUGGAAAGUACAAAGGAGUGAGAGCUGGGACUACCAGCCAGAGGGUUCAUGGAGGUAGUGGGAGGGGAAGAUGGGUUCUGCAUGGAGCCACUCCAGGGACUUUUCUUCUGUCUCACAGCCUGACAAUCACCUCUAGCUGUUCUCAGUCCCAUUCUCAUCAAUGACCUCGUCUCCUGAUUUUGUACAAUAUCUAGGUGACCUUCUCUUCUUUCCAUCUUCAAACGCUUGAUCAUUGAUGCUCCCUUUUCUCUUCUCUCUCCUCCUGGGAAAAGAGAAGGACCAACAUCCCCCUUUCCCUUCCUCCUGUGCUGUCCCGACCCCUCUGAGACCUGGCUCUAGCAGUAAGUCCCUCUCUCUUCUGCAGCACCAGCCUCUGCCCAUCCCUGCCCUCUGCACACAAAGCUCUCACAUUGUCUGCACUUUAAGAACUUUUGUGGCAAACCCUGGCAAAUCCUGCCACUUGUUUCCACUCUUCUCAAAUGGCUUUGAGGUCAUCAUUGACCUAUCCCAUUUGACCCUGUCCUGUAUCUGAUGUUGUACCCUUUCUCCUUGAUCCCACUCUGGCAACUCUCCCACUCCCCUUUCUUGGAUCAACUGUCUUGCUCCUCAGUCUUGAUCAAUGCCUCCUUCUCUCUCUUUAGCCUUGGCCCUUUUUGGCCAGGGAAAUAAAUGUGAAAUACAUAAAGCUUCAUUUUAUCUUAUGAUUAUAGCUAUGUUGAUGUUACCCAAGACCUAAAAGUCACACUCUCUAAUUACACUUCCCUCCUGUGUUCUGGGUCCUCUUGGACCAGUCCUUACUCUGGCUCCCCUCCUGGAUGUCUCCCAGACUUCUAAUUAGAAUUACUGUUUCCUAUAUCAAGCUAAUUAUCUUUCCCACCAACCUCCUCCAUCCUUGGGUGAAAGCAUCACUUGGUUGCAAAAGUCAGAAAUCUGGGUUUCAUUCUUGCGGUAGGUAGAAUAAUGCCCCCAGGCCCCAGGUUUUGACAUCCGAAUCCCUGGGACUUUGCAGAUGUGAUUCAGUUUAGGAUUUUGAGAUGGGGAGAUUAUCUGGGAGAGCCUGAUGUCAUCAUAAGGUUCUUAUAAGAGGGAGGCAGGAGGGUUAGAGUGAGUAGUAAGAGAUGCAACAGUGGAAGCAAGAGGUUGGGGUGAUGUGGCCACAAGCCCAGGAGUGCUGACAGACAUCAGAAGCUGGAAGGGACAAGGAAUGGUUUCUCCUCUGGAGCCUCCAGAAAGAACCAGCCCUGCUGACACCUUGAUUUUAGCCUUGGAAGACUCAUUUUGGACUUCUGACCUUGAACGUUGUAAGAGAAUAAAUUUACAUAUUUUAAACUGG